CGGAGGAUGCAAGCGUUAUCCGGAUUUAUUGGGUUUAAAGGGUGCGUAGGCGGAUAAAUAAGUCAGUGGUGAAAGCCUGCAGCUUAACUGUAGAAUUGCCAUUGAUACUGUUUAUCUUGAGUACAGCUGAGGUGGGCGGAAUAUGACAUGUAGCGGUGAAAUGCUUAGAUAUGUCAUAGAACACCGAUUGCGAAGGCAGCUCACUAAACUGUCACUGACGCUGAGGCACGAAAGCGUGGGGAGCAAACAGGAUUAGAUACCCUGGUAGUCCACGCCCUAAACUAUGAUCACUCGAUGUUGGCGAUACGCUGUCAGCGUCUAAGGGAAACCAUUAAGUGAUCCACCUGGGGAGUACGGUCGCAAGACUG
rnacentral:rRNA from 1 species